UCUUGGUCAAUUAGAGGAAGUAAAAGUCGUAACAAGGUCUCCGUUGGUGAACCAGCGGAGGGAUCAUUACCGAGUUUACAACUCCCAAACCCCUGUGAACAUACCUUAAUGUUGCCUCGGCGGAUCAGCCCGCGCCCCGUAAAACGGGACGGCCCGCCAGAGGACCCAAACUCUAAUGUUUCUUAUUGUAACUUCUGAGUAAAACAAACAAAUAAAUCAAAACUUUCAACAACGGAUCUCUUGGUUCUGGCAUCGAUGAAGAACGCAGCAAAAUGCGAUAAGUAAUGUGAAUUGCAGAAUUCAGUGAAUCAUCGAAUCUUUGAACGCACAUUGCGCCCGCUGGUAUUCCGGCGGGCAUGCCUGUUCGAGCGUCAUUUCAACCCUCAAGCCCCCGGGUUUGGUGUUGGGGAUCGGCUCUGCCUUACGGCGGUGCCGCCCCCGAAAUACAUUGGCGGUCUCGCUGCAGCCUCCAUUGCGUAGUAGCUAACACCUCGCAACUGGAACGCGGCGCGGCCAUGCCGUAAAACCCCAACUUCUGAAUGUGACCUCGGAUCAGGUAGAAGCCCGCUG
rnacentral:rRNA from 1 species